rfam:Spinacia oleracea cultivar SynViroflay scaffold41390.con0008.1, whole genome shotgun sequence.
AAGUGAUGAGGAAAUUUGCGCCUCAUGUGGCUGUUGGGUCCGCCACAAACUGUCUAAUUUCUCAGAUUAGUAACUCAGCGCAUCUGAGCUU